rnacentral:lncRNA from 1 species
CUGCGUGACACUUUAGUUUUUGGACCUUAGUUUAUUGCAAUUUCUGGCUCGAAUUAUGAGGCGUGUGACAUUUUAGUCCUCAAAUUUUGAUUAGUUAUAAUUUCUAUCUCGAACUAUAAAGUAUAUAAUACUUUAGUUCUCAAACCUUCUAAAUUAUUACAAUCAAGCCCUCACAACUAAAUUUUUUGAAUGAGUAUUAAUAAAUUCUUAAUAUGAAAAUAAUGUAGUAUUUUAAAUAUUUUUGCAUCAUCGGAUAUGAUAUUGCUACAACUAAAAAAAAUCCGAGAACUAAAAUAUCACACACCUCAUAAUUCGAACAAGAACUUAUAAUUAAUUAAAGUUUGAAUAUUAAAAUAUCACGUGCCUCAUAUUUGAGGCAGAAAUCAUAACGAAUUAAAGUUCGUAAACUAAAAUAUAUGCACGCCAUAAUUUAAGGACCAAAAGUGUAAUUAAUUAACCUUAUUUUAACUAUUUAAUCAUAUACUUCAAUUUUUUUUUUUUGAGGGAGAGAGGCUAUCGCUUGUUGAAAAUAUGAAUCAAUCAGAAUUUGAAUUUAGAAUCUCAAAUAUUAAUAGUCAAAUUUUUUUGUCACUUGCGCAAAAAACGAUUGGUUAUAUAUUUCAACGAUUUAUUAAAUAUUAAAUUUUUUUAAUAAAAGUGUGGAUGGAACCAUACUGAACCGGGGCUAUGAUUGUCGUGUAGUAGAAACAGUGUAUACAUACCGACCGUCCCUAGAGCAAGUGGCAAAGGGCUUGGUGGUUGGUAUUCGAGGUUUCAAGUUCGAAUCCUAGUUGAUUCACAUUUUCAGCUAAGUUUAUUUUUAAAUGAAAUAAACGAAGCGGGUAGGUGCUACCUAUCUCUUUCAAAAAAAAAAAAAAAAAAAAAAAAAAAAAAAAAAAA